GUAAAUAAUAAAGGGCGUAUGGUGGAUGCCUAGGCUCUCAGAGGCGAUGAAGGACGUGAUAAGCUGCGAAAAGCUCCGUUUAGGUGCAAAUAACCUUUGAUGCGGAGAUCUCCGAAUGGGAUAACCCAAUAUGUUGAAGACAUAUUAUACCGUAAGGUAGGCAAACGCAGGGAACUGAAACAUCUAAGUACCUGCAGGAGAAGAAAACAAACGUGAUUCCCCCAGUAGCGGCGAGCGACCGGGGAUAAGCCCAAACCGUUAUUGUUUCGGCAGUAGCGGGGUAGUAGGACUGCGACAUUGAUGAAAUAAAUGAAAUGGAACACCUUGGAAAAUGUGAUCACAGAGGGUGAUAAUCCCGUACAUGUAAGUUUAUGAAUCAUAGCAGACUCCUGAGUAAGUCGGGACACGUGUAAUCCUGACCGAAUCCGCCGGGACCAUCCGGCAAGGCUAAAUACUCCUGAGAGACCGAUAGUGAACCAGUACCGUGAGGGAAAGGUGAAAAGCACUUCGAACAGAAGAGUGAAAUAGUCCCUGAACCCAUACGCCUACAAGCAGUCGGAGCCGCUUCGUGCGGUGACGGCGUGCCUUUUGCAUAAUGAGCCUACGAGUUACUCAUCACCAGCGAGGUUAAGUACUUCAGGUACGUAAGCCGAAGCGAAAGCGAGUCUGAAUAGGGCGUCAAGUUGGUGGUGGUAGACGCGAAACCUUAGUGAUCUACCCAUGGGCAGGGUGAAGGUUUGGUAACACAAACUGGAGGCCCGAACCGGUAAACGUUGAAAAGUUUUCGGAUGACCUGUGGGUAGGGGUGAAAGGCCAAUCAAACUGGGAAAUAGCUCGUACUCUCCGAAAUGCAUUUAGGUGCAGCCUCUGUUGUUUUGUUCUAGAGGUAGAGCUACUGAUUGGAUGCGAGGGCUUCACCGCCUAUCAAAUCCGGCCAAACUCCGAAUGCUAGAACAUAAAGACAGGGAGUGAGCCAGCGGGUGCUAAGGUCCGUUGACGAAAGAGGGAGAACUCAGACCAUCAGCUAAGGUCCCCAAUUAUAUGCUAAGUUGGAAUAAAAACGGGGUGGGACUGCUUAGACAGCUAGGAUGUUGGCUUGGAAGCAGCCAUUCAUUUAAAGAGUGCGUAACAGCUCACUAGUCGAGCGGUCCUGCAUGGAUAAUACGCGGGCAUAAGCAUAUAACCGAAGCUAUGGGAUUGUAGAUGAUACAAUCGGUAGGAGAGCAUUCCAUUCAGCAUAGAAGCAGUAUCGUGAGGUAUUGUGGAGCGGAUGGAAAAGCAAAUGUAGGCAUAAGUAACGAUAAUGCGGGUGAGAACCCCGCACGCCGAAAGAUCAAGGAUUCCCCGGCAAUGUCAAUCAUCCGGGGGUAAGUCGGAUCCUAAGGGUAAGCCGAGUGGCGAUCCCGAUGGUAAACAGGUUAAUAUUCCUGUACUGAUCAUAACUGCGAUGCAGCGACGCAGAGGUGACACUGCUGCGUACUGACGGAAUAGUACGUUGAAACCCGUAUUCUUUGAUACCGGUAGUGAAGCACGCCGGUAGAGAUGAAAGGUGAUAGUACCGCAAUGCUUCGGUUGCGCGGAUAAUGCAGGUAAGCUGACUGCCAAGAAAACCUGCUAAGCUUCAGGUAAUGAUCAUCCGUACUGUAAACGGACACACGUGAUCAGGUAGAAAAUACUAAGGCGCUCGAGAGAUUCAUGGUUAAGGAACUAGGCAAAAUGGUCCUGUAACUUCGGGAUAAAGGACGCUCUUGUGAAAGAGCCGCAGAUAAUAGGCCCAGGCGACUGUUUACCAAAAACACAUGGCUAUGCUAAUUCGCAAGAAGAUGUAUAUGGCCUGACACCUGCCCGGUGCCGGAAGGUUAAGAGGAGAGCUCAGAGGUAACUCGAAGGUUUGAAUUGAAGCCCCGGUAAACGGCGGCCGUAACUAUAACGGUCCUAAGGUAGCGAAAUUCCUUGUCGGGUAAGUU
rnacentral:rRNA from 1 species